GUGAAUCAUCAAAUUUUUGAACGCAAAUUGCACUCUCCUCGGAGAGUAUCCCUGUUUGAGGGUCAGCCUAUAAAAAAUCGACAUCGUUGCUGUUUCGCGGUGGCGUUCGUCGGAAAUUGGGUUAUCUUAAAUCCCUUUGGGUUUUAAGCGACUUAAAAUUUUCUUUUUGGUUCCAUGAACGUUUCUAAGAUUUAUUUCUUUACACGUUUAAGGGUAUCGAUUUUAUUAGACGUGGCCGUCAUAUCGGAUCGCGUCCAUAAUCUUUCAUUAACUGACCUCAGACAGGUAAGAGUACCCG
rnacentral:misc_RNA from 1 species